UAUAAUAAACAUGUAAAUUCAUUAUCACAUUAAUGCUAGGGACUUGAAUCAAAAUUUUAGAACUAAUAUAAGGUCUUAGUAUAUGAACAGUAAGAACUAGGGACCGGAUACUAAUUUUUUCAUUUUAUAUUUAAUUUCUAUAGGGUCUAUAUUAAUAUUUAACAUAGUAUGAAGAGCUUUAUCCUCUAAAAAUGUGGUUAUGUGUUUAAUUUUCCUUAUUAGUUAGUGCCACAAGCAGGGGAGUGGACAGGUAUAGCAUACCAGCAUGGAAGUGGGUUUGCAUUUUACAGUAUCUUAAAUAUUAUUUUAUUAUUAUCGUUAAUGAUUUAGCACUAGAUGUUAUCAUUUUUUUAUAUAUAUAUAUAAUAGUGGAAGAGAGGGAUCAAACGUAUAAAAAUGAAUACUCUUAAUUAUUACUCGAGUUACAAUUUCUUGCAUUCGGUUAUCUAUGCUUCUAAAAUCAACCUUAUCAUUUUUUGUUAAGACAAGAAAGACUUUGUCACAACGGUGUAGUGUAAGCCAAAAACCCACAUAUGCCUAAGUUAAACUUAAUAAAGGAGAAUAAAACACAAUUACCUUUUUUUAUGCAUGAAAAUGAACAUGCCUUUAUAUAGUGCUAGCCAUGGACUUGUGAAUGAUUCAUUAGGGCACGUGUGACACUCCCUAAGUGGUUGGUUAACACACCAUAUUAUCCGACCCCUUUAGCCAACAAUGAUUGAUUAUGGGAUACGUGAUGAAUGGCAUCAAUUGAGAGUCUUGUUAAGGGACAACUCUUAACUAGCGUUGGAGAACAUGACAUAUGUUUGAGCAAUGAUUAUCCCUUGAAGAUCAUGUUGGUUCUUUCCUUGCAUGGCCCUGCUGGGCAAAUCUCUUAUGCGAGCUCUUUUGGACUUGUGGAUGUCAUUUGGGUUAUAUCAUUAAGCUUGCUGAGUGAGAGUGGUCUAUUGCUUUGGUUUACAUGAGUUCAUCACGUGAGGCGUGGAGAACGCCUAGUCCCGGCAGGGGUGUCACCUCUACUGAAACCUCUGCUGGCGUGAUUUAUGGGAAGACAUCUCUUCUCGCAUUUAAUAUUCAACUCGCAUAAAAGACUCAAGUGUUGGCAUAUCCGUAAGAGUAAUUUUGUCAAUUGAGUCUGCUUCGGCACAUUCAACGUCCCCUCUGAACCGAUGAGAUUUGGUUGCGACAGUAGGCCCCUAGACAAUCUUUGAAAUCCCACUGAUAGACAAAUUCAGCUCUUGCGCUGCCAGACAAAGCUUGUCUCAUUAUCACAUAUGAGGGUGCCUAAACUGUUUUUUAUCACGGGGAUGACUUUCUUGGCUAUAUUUUCUUCUUUUAAAAUUGUAUCAUGGAGCCCCAAAACCUAACUAGUUAGGGCAUGACAAACUGAUCUAGGGUUUAAUAUAAAUGAAAUGGAAAAUCAUCCAUAUGGAAUAGAAAAAGAGAAAAAAAAACAUGAAAAAGACAAAAUCAGCCGCACCGCAGACUAAUUAUUAUCGAAUCGAAUAUAUGUAUGUAAGUGCCUGAUGCAGAAAAUAAAUUAAUCUCUGAAAUUGUAGGGUACCUACGGUUGGUAAGGGCCCUUAACUUAAACACUAAGACGAACAAAUUAAGCUAAAUUUUAAGCGACAUCUUGCUGGAAUCCUGUUCUGGGUCAAUAGAAGGAAGACUUCUUUGCAUAAAUAUAUGUAUUAUUUUCCUGAUUCUUUCUUCAAGCAUAAUGACUAAAAUUUAAUCCUCACUCUUUUUUUGUUUUUUGGUAAAACCUUCCCGAAUAAAGGAAAAGAUUUUAUUCCAAACAAUAUAUUACAAACAGCGGCCCGCUAACAAAAUAAGACCAGAAACACAAAUGGACCUCCCAGCUAACCAAAAAAGCUCAACCAAGAGCCUAACACUAUAGACAGAACAAAAGAAACUUCUCGACCCCAGCAUACACCACCGUAAUAGUGUUUCACGAUCAACUUAGAACACUUCCUCCAACAAAUGCCAAUAAUCAAUCAAGCAGCUCCGCAAAAACCAGCCACAAAAGCCGCCCCUAUCUUAGCCAGAAAUUGGAAGAAGCCUGCCAUGAACAACACUGCCAUCGAAGGCAGACAAAGAGAAGGAGGUGGUGUUUUAAACAAUGUGAGCUGAUGUGCCCACCGGAGCUCUACGCACCCUCUCGAAUGGUCGCAACAAAUUGCGAUGAAAACUUACUGCAAAUUGAAAUGAAAGUGGUUGGGGAAGACAGACGUCCAAGAGGAGAGAAAGUUUGGGUAAAGUAGGAAAUACAUAUGGGGGAAAAGUUAGCAUAAGUACUGAAAAGGAGAAACAAAGAACAAAAGGAAAAGUUUUCCUCCGACCCCCGUCACAGCGCGAGCCGGUGACAACGGAUUUAUACGAUGGGGAACUCACUCACACAAUCAGUGGGAAAGACUCUUAGGAAAAGAAAAAGUCUCACUUACUAAUCCGUAAUCAAAUUGAGAUAAAUUGAAUUGAGGAGGAAUUGGAUUGAGGUGGAAUCAGGAUCAGAUUUAUGUUAAAGUUAUUUACUAAAACUGUCUAGAAUCGGAGUAGGAAUGAUGUUGAGUCCAUAUAAGUUGUUUACUAAUUCAGUUCAAUCGAAAUAAAAACUAGGCUGGUUACUAUAUUGCCCUUACAUA
rnacentral:lncRNA from 1 species